rnacentral:rRNA from 1 species
AUACGGAGGGUGCAAGCGUUAUUCGGAAUCACUGGGCGUAAAGGGUGCGUAGGCGGUUUGGUAAGUCUGAUGUGAAAUCCUAUGGCUCAACCAUAGAACUGCAUUGGAAACUGCUAGACUAGAAUACUGAAGGGGCAGAUGGAAUUAGUGGUGUAGGGGUAAAAUCCGUAGAUAUCACUAGGAAUACCGAAAGCGAAAGCGAUCUGCUGGGAAGUUAUUGACGCUGAGGCACGAAAGCGUGGGGAGCAAACGGAAUUAGAUACCCCAGUAGUCC